CCUACGGGUGGCAGCAGUGAGGAAUAUUGGUCAAUGGCCGGAAGGCUGAACCAGCCAAGCCGCGUGAAGGACGAAGGUGCCAAGCAUUGUAAACUUCUUUUGUCAAGGGACAAAAUCAGGCUCGAGAGCCUGACCGAGGGUACUUGAAGAAAAAGCAUCGGCUAACUCCGUGCAAGCAGCCGCGGUAAUACGGAGGCUGCGAGCGUUAUCCGGAUUUAUUGGGGUUAAAGGGUGCGUGGGCGGGCUGUUAAGUCAGGGGUAAAAGCCCGGGGCUCAACCCCGGCGAGCCGUUGAAACUGGCUGACUUGAGAUGUCGAGAGGUAUGCGGAAUGCGCAGUGUAGCGGUGAAAUGCUUAGAUAUUGCGCAGAACUCCGAUUGCGAAGGCAGCAUACCGGCGGCGAUCUGACGCUGAGGCACGAAAGCGUGGGUAUCGAACAGGAUUAGAUACCCGAGUAGUC
rnacentral:rRNA from 1 species